rnacentral:lncRNA from 1 species
UUGCAGGUUCAUCACCCUAUAUUUAUAUAGAGUGCUGUAGUUUGCUACGAGACGUCAGACAUAGUUAGACUGUAGUAGUAAUCAAUAGCGUAGACGCUGUGUCUAGGCUAAGGGUUAUCCUUCGUUUGCCAUAUAUCCCACGGGUUGCUAGAGAUAGGCUGUAGGUGGGGAUAGCCCUAUUGGUCCUUUGUAAUCCUUCACGUCCACAUAUAAAGUAGAGCUAUUAGCCGAAGUCGCCUGGUAGAUCAGGGGUAAGCCGGUAAACGUAGCAAGUAUCCAUAACCAAGAGAUCGACCUUUAACUUUCCUCAAGUACUACCUAUUGG